UCAAGAAUGUUCUGGUCUCCCCUCCAGGAUACAGUGAGAUCCUAGAGUGAAGAGACAAUAACAGCCGCUCUUUCCUGCAGCUCCCGGGACAGAGCACAAGAUUAAACACACGUGGAUCAGAAGAGAACAUGCGCUGAAUUUUCCCACCGUUCAUUUAGCCUUCAUCCAGAUGCAAGUCCAUGAAGAUCCCAACUCUGUCCACUAGCCUGAUGGCACAUGCUGGGCUUGAACCUACUGCCCCUAAGACACCGAAUGAACCAGAACAACAAUACCACCGUACAGAUGGGCCAACAGGAUAUCUUAUUUAUCCAUUGAUUUAUAAGCAUGAAUCAAAUCCUACAAAGUCCCACAUGCUGGGCCAAGUAUUGAGGAUUCAGUGAUGACGGAUGGUGAUAGAGUAACAACCGGGACCCGCUGCCCCACGGGUAUUGCCUCGCGUCGCAGUCUAGAUUCAGCUGAGCCAUAGAACCAAAUAAAAGAGCACAAAAAGACCCAGGUGUUUGAAGGGAGAAGACGGGCGAGAGGGUGGAUGAAUAAUAUUCCCCUUUCCCACCCGAGAUUCAGAACACUACUUUUCUCCUGCUAAUUAACUACAAGGAGGUAAGGUGUCAGCUCAAUUUCAUCUCUAGCUCCCGCCGAUAGAAAAUGCGAUUUCUAACAAUGUACUCAUUAUAAAAAAAAGUCCUAAUACAUCAAAAUUGGAUGCCCUGUGGAGUUCAUUAUAGGAUCUGAGGAGCGUCUAUGCUGCCAUUUUAUCUUGGCUUUCUUCCUUUUGUCUCAUCCGUCACUUAAA